UACAUCUCCUGAACUCGGGUGGA
rnacentral:siRNA from 1 species